rnacentral:rRNA from 1 species
GACGGAGGGAGCAAGCGUUGUUCGGAUUGACUGGGCGUAAAGGGCGUGUAGGCGGUUGGUCAAGUCUGAUGUGAAAGCCCGGAGCUCAGCUCCGGAAGGGCAUCGGAAACUAGCCAGCUGGAGCGCGAUAGAGGAGGGCGGAAUUCCUGGUGUAGCGGUGAAAUGCGUAGAUAUCAGGAGGAACACCGGCGGCGAAGGCGGCCCUCUGGAUCGUUGCUGACGCUGAGACGCGAAAGCGUGGGGAGCAAACAGG